rnacentral:tRNA from 1 species
AGCCCAGUAUGCAUCGGACUGCAAAUCUGAAGUUGGGUAGGAUUACCCCUGGGCUU